rnacentral:rRNA from 1 species
CUGCAUGGCUGUCGUCAGCUCGUGUCGUGAGAUGUCGGUUAAGUCCGCUAACGAGCGCAACCCUCGCUGUGUGUUACAAGUGUCACACGGGAACUGCCGGUCAUAAACCGGAGGAAGGUGGGGAUGACGUCAAGUCAGCAUGGCCUUUACAUCCUGGGCUACACACACGCUACAAUGGGAGGGGACAAUAGGUUGCGAAGCCGCGAGGCGGAGCCAAUCCAGCAAAACUUCCCUCAGUUCAGAUUGCAGGCUGCAACUCGCCUGCAUGAAGUUGGAGUUGCUAGUAAACGCAGGUCAGCCAUACUGCGUUGAAUACGUUCCCGGGGCUU